rnacentral:lncRNA from 1 species
GUUGUUGCCUUGGAGCUACCAGCGCACGAUUCCACCUCUGACGUUUCAUGCCCGGGUGCUAUUUAUUGGACUCACUCCACUUGAUCUCAAGUGAUGCGAUCAUACAGGUCUGUCUAGCCGCCUCCCUUGUCUGUUUGUAGUCUGCUUUCUGGCAAGUAGUACAAAUUGGUCUAGCCACAGCCCACAGCCGCACAUGUGCCCCUGCAUUCAAACAAAUGGAAUUACGAUUCGAAGUUAGUAGAAAACUGAUAACAUGUUCAGAGUUUUCACAUCACGCAACCAAGUAAACUCCCAUACACAGGGGACACGAAAAUGGCGCAUCCAUGUUUUGAUUGCAUCCGUGUAUUCAACAAUCACAUAGCAUGUUACGUUUCACCUGAAAAAAAAAGAUCACAGAACAUAUUUUACUUGAAGUUUAUUUAUUACCUUAGUGAAUUAUAGAAUAGAACAAUAAUGUAUCUUUUGUUAUGAGAAUGAUUGCAUGAAUAGUACAUCUAGUUCAGGAAAAAAAGGAUCGGGAGAAAAUAUUUGAUAGUUGGAAACCAACUAUAUCAGUUAUAAUAUUCUAAUAUGCUAAUUAUUUCCUUAAUGAAAUGCUCACUAUAUAUAUUCAGAAGUAUAACAGAGUUACAUAGGUGUUACUCUACUGAUUUGGCUCUGCUUCUCCUGUUUGCAAAGAGGAUUUUCUUAUUUCUGCUAUCUGGCAGUUCUUAUCUAAUAAUGGUUAUCAUUUGCCAUUGAUAAUAUUAUCUCGUAGUUUAAUUCUGCUUAUAGCGCAUGAUUUGAUUUCAUUCACCGUCCAUUAUUUAGCUACUUCAACGUCCUACUAGCCUUGCUAUCUCUAAGGAGAAACAUAAAUGUCGAAUGAUGUUGCCAUUCCUGACACUGAAAAAUGGUCAUGUUUUUCAGGCCCAACAGGUGUUACCUUUGAUAAAGAAUGCAGAUCAUGUACUAUCUCUUUGUCCAUUUCAGGGGAGAGCAUUUCAAAGGAAUCAUGGACUGGAGGUGUAAGGUUACAUGACAAGCUAUUUUGCUCACGCAGUUUGAUGAAAAAAUUCAUGAAGUCCACUUCCUUGUUUAUUUGGCUCAUGAUUAAUGUUUUUUUAACUUCCAAAUGUUGGCUAGCAAUUGAUAUUCUAUGAUUAAACAUGUCAUAAUCCAU